UACGUAGGGUGCAAGCGUUGUCCGGAAUUAUUGGGCGUAAAGAGCUCGUAGGCGGUCUGUCGCGUCUGCUGUGAAAUCCCAGGGCUCAACCCUGGGCGUGCAGUGGAUACGGGCAGGCUGGAGGCAGGCAGGGGAGAACGGAAUUCCCGGUGUAGCAGGUGAAAUGCGCAGAUAUCGGGAGGAACACCGGUGGCGAAGGCGGUUCUCUGGGCCUGUACUGACGCUGAGGAGCGAAAGCGUGGGGAGCGAACAGG
rnacentral:rRNA from 1 species